rnacentral:lncRNA from 1 species
GGCUGCGCCGGGCUCCUGCAUCUGUUGUGAUUCUGAUGAAGAAAGCGCAUCCAUUCACCAGCAACAGAAAAGAAAAACUCCUGCUG